AGAAUCAACGCUGGCGGCGUGCCUAACACAUGCAAGUCGAACGAGAAAGUGGAGCAAUCCAUGAGUAAAGUGGCGCACGGGUGAGUAACACGUGACUAACCUACCCUUGAGUGGGGGAUAACCUAGGGAAACCGUGGGCUAAUACCGCAUAAUACCUUCGGGUCAAAGGAGCAAUUCGCUUAAGGAGGGGGUCGCGGCCGAUUAGUUAGUUGGCGGGGUAAUGGCCCACCAAGACUGUGAUCGGUAU
rnacentral:rRNA from 1 species